rnacentral:rRNA from 1 species
CAAGGAAUUUUCCACAAUGGGCGCAAGCCUGAUGGAGCAACGCCGCGUGCGGGAGGACGCCCUUCGGGGUGUAAACCGCUUUUCGGGGGGACGAAGCCAAUGACGGUACCCCCGGAAGAAGGACCGGCUAACUACGUGCCAGCAGCCGCGGUAACACGUAGGGUCCGAGCGUUGUCCGGAAUUACUGGGCGUAAAGCGCGCGCAGGCGGUCCGACGCAUCGGCGGUGAAAGCCCCCCGCUUAACGGGGGAGGGUCCGUCGAGAUGGUCGGGCUGGAGGCAGGGAGAGGGCGGUGGAAUUCCGGGUGUAGUGGUGAAAUGCGUAGAGAUCCGGAGGAACACCAGUGGCGAAGGCGGCCGCCUGGACCUGACCUGACGCUGAGGCGCGAAGGCGCGGGGAGCGAACGG